rnacentral:snRNA from 1 species
AUACUUACCUGGAAGGGGAGAUUUUAUAAUCUCCAAAGUGCAGCUUAUCCAUUGCUCUCUGGAUGUCCUGACUCCUGCUAUUUCCCUACAUGUAGGAAGCUAUGCUGUACAAUUCGUGGUAGCAGGGAGUUGUGCUCGUGCUCUCCCCUG